ACUGGAAAACAAGUGUUGGUGCCAGGACCUCCGGUGGAUACCAGACUGCUUUUUCAGAGACAGGCCAUGGACACAGUGUGUAUUGCGGUCGUUGGAGCUGGCGUGAUAGGGCUGUCUACUGCAGCAUGCAUUUCCCAACUGGUUCCCGGAUGCACCGUCACUGUCAUCUCAGACAGGUUCACUCCUGAUACCACCAGUAAUGUAGCGGCUGGGAUGCUUAUUCCUCACACGUGUGCAGUUGGCAGAUAUUCCGCAGCGUCCCCGCUGAAGAAGUGCCUUUCUGGGCUGAUGUGGUGCUGGGAUUUCGAAAGAUGACAGAGGCUGAGCUGAAGCGGUUCCCUCAGUAUGUGUUUGGCCAGGCUUUUACAACCCUGAAGUGCGAGACUUCUGCCUACCUCCCGUGGCUGGAGAGAAGGGCUAUUGGCUUACUGUGAGGAGAAACCAAGAUGGCUUUUGCCCUCAGGAUUUUUAACCUAGUCACAAGCUGAGCUGGAAUGACAGAGCCCUGAGAGUUUUGCCUUCGGGCGUGCUCUGCCUCAAGUCUGUCCUGUCAGGUCCCUGGUGAUUUUUUCUGACCUUGAAAGGUUGAGGAGAGCUCACAGUGAUCUACAUCUGGGGGAUGAUUUCUGAUCUUGCCAGUGUACAUGUGGAGAAAAGACGAUGGCCGUUGGAUGAAGCUGUUGAUGCCCACCCUCCAGCUUUAUUUGUCAUGAAAACCUGAUUGCAUUGGUUCACCCCGAGUGCUUCUGCUUUACACAGCAGAGCAGGCAGAGCCAAUCCACGAACGUGAGAAUCGUUUCCGCUGGUCUCUCUUUGCUCCUUGGCACGUCAGUCAUUUAAAAUUUCAAUAUCAGCAUCUACCAUGGCAGCAUGCUUUCUCAUAGUCAGCUCUGCUGACAUCUUGUGCUGGACCAUGCCUUAUUGUGGAAGGCUGUUUAUUUCAGUGAAGGAUGUUUAUUAGCAUCCUGGCUCUUUACCUAUUAGAUCCUAGUAUCAUCUUCCUCUCUCCCUACCAGCUGCAAUAAUCACAAGUGUCUUCGGGCAUUGCCAAGUGUCUCUUUGUAAGGUAAAGCUACCUCUGGCUGGAAAUCACUGCACUCCAGUGAUAUAUAUAUAUAUGGAGAUUAGCGAUAAAAACUUUCAUUCAUUUUAUUGGCUAAAACCUCAUGGAGAAUGUAAUUUGUGAUCUGCUAAAAGUUGUUAUUGUGUUUUACUGACCUGCAUAUCUAAUUGACAACUGAUGACACAAUGGCUAAUGAUAAUCUGCAAAUUUCAGACAUACCCAGGAACAAACUUGACUUGGUCAACUCUGAGAAAAGCAAAGGUCGUGAAUGAAAGCCUGCUUGCCCGCUGUGGCGGUGACCAGUCACAUUUGUCUCUCCAGCUUACCCUCAGAAUGCUUCAAUAGUCUUUACCAUCCACAACACAGGGAAAUAGUGUGUGGAGGUUAAGAAUGGAAGAUCUCUGCCUAGAGAAUUAAUGACGUUCCAUACGUGUCGAUGGGUCUUUUGAUCAGUAAUGAAGAUGUAGACGUGGGUGCAAAACAUAAAGGGGAGGGUAUCUAAACAUUGUGUGUAAUUUGGAGGGUUUCCCCAUCCCUUAGUGGAAACGCUUCAUUGAGAAGUGUAAAAUGAGAUAAGGGGGAGCAUGAGACCACCUCGCCCCUUCUCUUCAAGGGCUACACUGUUCUGAAGUCUCCCUUCAAGGGCUACACUGUUCUGAAGUCUCCGUGUCUCCGAUGCCUUCCCAGUCCACAGUCUUAUUAAAUACCCCCAUUUUAGCAAUAUAAAAAGUCCCACGAUUCCUCUCUAUAGAUACUCAAAGGAUAAGCAGAGGGCAUGAAUUAGUGGUGCCAUGGUCUUUGGAAGAUUUUAUUUAGUGGCACUGUGUUAGACACAUAGAAACAAAACACAAGGAAACAAAACCUAACCAAAGUCCGCCUCAGACAUUGCUGAAAAGGAUUAUCAAACACUGUACGUGUUGUUUUAAACAAUUCCAUCUAAGUAUACAACUCACUAGAGUGCAUUUGCAGCAUCUUGAGUUUGGGAAUGGACGUCAGGGCCUUGCACACGCUAGGGGGAAUAUGAAAGCUAGUGCUUGUCCACUGAGCUCCAGCUCCAGCCCUGGGAUCAUGAGUCUAACGUGUCCUUGAAACUGUUGAUGCUUUAGUCAGGUUCGCUAGAGGAACAGAAUCAAGUGGGUGAAUGUAUUAUCAGGUAAGCUUUAAAAUAACGACAGCCAAGUCACAUCUGAGACAGGAGAACCCAGCUCUCAGCUCCUCGAUCUCUUACUGGGAGCGACGCCUGUAGCUGCCCAGUCCACAUCAGUAGUCCCAGGUGGAUGCUGGAAGCCCACGAGGUUCUCCGAGAGCACUGGUCCCCAUUCUCCCAUGAAAGCUUGGAAAUGCUGGCUGUGCUACAGCAGACAAAUCCAUCCCUCGGCCCAGGAGCAGUGAGGGAAGGGUCAAGCAAACCAAGGUGAGAAUUAACCGACUUUGAAAUACCCUCACUGGAUCUGAGCUACCACCUAAGGGUGUCACCCACAGUCUGGGCCGGCUGAUUCACAUCAGUGGAGACAAUCGGGAAAGUUCUUCAGGUGAGGCUUUCCACUGAAGUGACAUUAAAUCCAACCAUAAUACAAAGUAUAUGCUAAUUAUAUGUAACAGCGGGCUUCAUAAUGGAGAUUUUAUGUACAAAUAUAACCUAUUUUUACCAUAUCAGUUGGGAAUUCCUAAGCCAAGAGAAGAUAUUUAUAAAUCCUAAGUCAAUGGUAAGAUGUCUAUAGAUCACUUUGUCUUAUAUUUGCCCAUCUUUUAAAAAAUGCAUACUUUUUGUGACAAUAUUCAUAAUUUUGUUAUUGGUAAAUUAUUAUUAUUUAGGUACUAAAUACAACAUAGUUAUGCAAUAUAUGUAACCCUAAAUAUUGGUCUAUUUUCCCACAGGAAAACAGAAGCUCAGAAAAGAUACAUAUUUUGUUUAGUGUCUCAUAUCACUCAAUGAGAGGGUCGUGAAUCAAACACAGUUCAAGUAAAUAACUGCAGGAUUUGAGGCUGUCUCUCUCAGCUUGUGUGAAUGAAAGUUUAUAAUCUUAAUAAAGACUUUUAGCUGCAA